UCUAAUUGUAAUUCCUACCCAUAUCCGA
rnacentral:sRNA from 1 species